rnacentral:rRNA from 1 species
AUUGAACGCUGGCGGCAGGCCUAACACAUGCAAGUCGAGCGAGCGGCGGACGGGUGAGUAAUGUCUGGGAAACUGCCUGACGGAGGGGGAGAACACCUGGAAACGGUAGCUAAUACCGCAUACGAUACGAUGUGCCCAGAUGGGAUUAGCUAGUAGGUGGGGUAACGGCUCACCUAGGCGACGAUCCCUAGCUGGUCUGAGAGGAUGAGCAGCCACACUGGAACUGGAGCACGGUCCAGACUCCUACGGGAGGCAGCAGUGGGGAAUAGUGCACAAUGGGCGCAAGCCUGAGGCAGCCAUGCCGCGUGUGUGAAGAAGGCCUUCGGGUUGUAAAGCACUUUCAGCGGGGAGGCGUUACCCGCAGAAGAAGCACCGGCUAACUCCGUGCCAGCAGCCGCGGUAAUAC